rnacentral:rRNA from 1 species
CAUCAUGGCCCUUACGCCUAGGGCUACACACGUGCUACAAUGGGGUGCACAAAGAGAAGCAAUACUGCGAAGUGGAGCCAAUCUUCAAAACACCUCUCAGUUCGGAUUGUAGGCUGCAACUCGCCUGCAUGAAGCUGGAAUCGCUAGUAAUCGCAAAUCAGCCAUGUUGCGGUGAAUACGUUCCCGGGUCUUGUACUCACCGCCCGUCACACCAUGGGAGUUGUGUUUGCCUUAAGUCAGGAUGCUAAAUUGGCUACUGCCCACGGCACACACAGCGACUGGGGUGAAGUCGUAACAAGGUAACCGUAGGUGAACCUGCGGUUGGAUCACCUCCUUUCUAGA